rnacentral:rRNA from 1 species
ACCUACGGGGGGCAGCAAUUAGGAAUCUUGCGCAAUGGGCGAAAGCCUGACGCAGCGACGCCGCGUGACUGAUGAAGUCUUUCGGGAUGUAAAGGUCUUUUCUGAAGGAAGAACACAAUGACGGUACUUCAGGAAUAAGCCCCGGCUAACUACGUGCCAGCAGCCGCGGUAAUACGUAGGGGGCGAGCGUUGUCCGAAUUCACUGGGCGUAAAGCGCGCGUAGGCGGGUUAUUAAGUUGAUGGUGAAAUCCCGGGGCUCAACCUCGGAACUGCCUUCAAAACUGGUAGCCUUGAGGUUUGGAGAGGGAACUGGAAUUCCUGGUGUAGCGGUGAAAUGCGUAGAUAUCAGGAGGAACACCCAUGGCGAAGGCAGGUUCCUGGCCAUAUCCUGACGCUGAGGUGCGAAAGCUAGGGUAGCGAACGGGAUUAGAUACCCCCGUAGUCCA